CCUGAUUGGACAGUUCACAAGGCCCCGCCCCCUUGUGCCUGAGUGACAGCAGGCCGGGGGCGCAUCUUUGAGCCGACCUUGCCUUGGCCGCAGGCCAGAACCUGUCCUCUGCAAGGACGCUGCAUUGAACCAUGAGGCCGGAGGCCAAGCCCGGAACUGUGACCCUUCCUUGCGCACACAGACACUUCAAAGGGACCUCACCAUAUGUCACAAUGAGCCUGGCUCCGUUUGAUCUUUGACCAUCUCCAGCGGGGAGACCCCCGCCCCCGUCCCCGCUCGCUGGGGUCUUUAAAGGGUCCGGUGGGCUCCGGGCGCCUGGCUGCGGUGGGAGGUUUGAACCCCACAGCCCCAGGGCAGGCCCCAGGCAUCCGGCGCCAGCACGUGUGAAUACUUUUCAAUGCAAUUCCAUUAAUACUCAUUUGUGGAAAUGUCAAAGGAGAUUCUGUGGUGCCACCUCUUGUCCUGCUCAGUGGUAUUGCAACACCCUCGAGAUGGCAGCUUGUCUUCUUGCCAAGCAUCGUCAAUCAAAUUUGAGGUCCUUCCAUCUCUCUGUACUGCAGUGUCCAUUCUCCUGCUGCUCUGAUCUUGUCAGAUGGGUAUCUGAGCUAGGCUCCACCCGCUUCCGACGGACCCUACCCUCAACAUCACGGGACCCGCACGCCUUUCUCUCCCUGGAUGUGGGUGAGCCAAUCUGCUGGUGAGGAGGGGAUAAACUUCUUAAAGAACUUUUAAAAUAAUAUAACCGCCUGAUGUGUGGUUAGUUUGGGAUGUUUCAGUUAUGUUGGGGUCCCCUUCUUUAUGAAGGUUGUCUCAAUUAAGAGAUGAAAAGCAGUAACUCUCCACUGGGCUCCAUCUUGUACAAAUGUUGCAAACUCAUGUUGCAGUUCACUGCGUUAAACCAAGACACUUCCCUGGGAGCCAAGGGGUCUGGGAGAGGGGUGACCUCUUCCAGAACAAUGGCACGUGGCAAGGAACUGACAGGAUGGAAGGGCACCCGCUCCUGCAGGUAGGAUAUCCCAGAGAGCCCAGGUUUGGCUCCAUCGUGUCUCAAGGAGGUCUUAGGAGCCGUGCUGAGCUCAUGGGGUGCUGUUUCCAGAGCCCAAAGCAUAACGGGCAGCUGAGUGGAGGGUCCCAUGGGUCCCAUGCUCAGGGCCUCGGAGAGCCUCUAUCAUCAGGAGAGACCAGUAUGUGGUGGUGACUGCAGCUCCAAUGGCACACAGUGGGGGGCUGGGGCAGGUUCUUGCAUCAGAAGCCUACAGGCAACUUAAGGCCAUCAAGGGUACCCCAGAAGACAUGACAGAAGGUCACUGAGGCCUCCGUAGGGAAGGAAUCUCCAAGGACACUAACAGGAGUGUUGGCUGUAGGACAAUUUGAAGAGAGUCUCCAGCCUUCUGUGGUAGGGGUGCCCACUCAGGGUGGCAAAUUUGCACAUAACAGCAUAAACGGGCUCAAGGAAAACCUGUAAACAAGAAAUAUAUUGCCUCCCAAACAUCAAGAGAACCUGCAGAAACGGGUGUGCUAUGAGGACAAUAGCUAUUUCUUCCCAUUAUCAGGGAGGAGCAGCCCCUGGCUUACCAAAUAGUUUUUAGGAAUUCAACCAAGGUGUCAAGGCCUCACAUUAUGUGUGGGGAAUGGCCCAUCUGCUUUUCGUGAGCUCCUCUCUUCAAUAUUUGUUUGUCCUGAAUGAAGGUCAACCGAACGUCCUUGGAGGAGGAUGUCGUUAGGGUCAUGUUACACUGUGCUCCUGGGGCAAGGUGGGUGCAGUUCAGACCCCGCCUGCAGUGGCUGUGAGAGGGCACAGCUGUGGAAGAUCCAUGAGGACAACCCAGUAAAGGGGCAUCAUGUCCCCUCAAAGGGGAAGGCCCAGUGCAGCUAAGAGGCUGUGGACACAGGCUCUGAACAGAACAGACUCAGCUGAGUCUGUGCGAGCAGAAUGUUUACCAGCUGCUGACUGGACGGAGUCAGUGCUUUCCAUACUGUUGGGGACUGGGUCUAGGGCUGUGUUUGGCGCGACCGCAGCCUCCAGGUUGCAGUGAUCCACUGUGAGGUGCCGUUCAUUCCUUCCAGAUUUAUGAACAGGCCAAAUCCGGCU
rnacentral:lncRNA from 1 species